UGGGGAAUAUUGCACAAUGGGCGCAAGCCUGAUGCAGCCAUGCCGCGUGUGUGAAGAAGGCCUUCGGGUUGUAAAGCACUUUCAGCGAGGAGGAAGGUGGUGAGCUUAAUACGCUCAUCAAUUGACGUUACUCGCAGAAGAAGCACCGGCUAACUCCGUGCCAGCAGCCGCGGUAAUACGGAGGGUGCAAGCGUUAAUCGGAAUUACUGGGCGUAAAGCGCACGCAGGCGGUUUGUUAAGUCAGAUGUGAAAUCCCCGGGCUCAACCUGGGAACUGCAUUUGAAACUGGCAAGCUAGAGUCUCGUAGAGGGGGGUAGAAUUCCAGGUGUAGCGGUGAAAUGCGUAGAGAUCUGGAGGAAUACCGGUGGCGAAGGCGGCCCCCUGGACGAAGACUGACGCUCAGGUGCGAAAGCGUGGGGCAGCAAACAGGAUUAGAUACCCUGGUAGUCCACGCUGUAAAACGAUGUCGAUUUUGGAGGUUGUGCCCUUGAGGCGUGGNUUCCGGAGCUAACGCGUUAAAUCGACCGCCUGGGGAGUACGGCCNCAAGGUUAAAACUUAAAGGAAUUGC
rnacentral:rRNA from 1 species